rnacentral:rRNA from 1 species
UACGUAGGCAGCAAGCGUUGUUCGGAGUUACUGGGCGUAAAGGGUGCGUAGGCGGCUUUUUAAGUUUGGUGUGAAAUCUCCCGGCUCAACUGGGAGGGUGCGCCGAAUACUGAGAGGCUAGAGUGUGGGAGAGGAAAGUGGAAUUCCUGGUGUAGCGGUGAAAUGCGUAGAUAUCAGGAGGAACACCGGUGGUGUAAACGGCUUUCUGGACCGUAACUGACGCUGAGACACGAAAGCGUGGGUAGCAAACAGG